AUACGUAGGGGGCGAGCGUUGUCCGGAAUGAUUGGGCGUAAAGGGCGCGUAGGCGGCCCGGUAAGUCUGGAGUGAAAGUCCUGUUUUUAAGAUGGGACUUGCUUUGGAUACUGUCGGCCUUGAGUGCAGGAGAGGUAAGGGGAAUUCCCAGUGUAGCGGUGAAAUGCGUAGAGAUUGGGGGGAACACCAGUGGCGAAGGCGACUUACUGGACUGUAACUGACGCUGAGGCGCGAAAGUGUGGGGAGCAAACAGGAUUAGAUACCCUGGUAGUCCACACUGUAAACGAUGAAUGCUAGGUGUAGGGGGUAUCGACCCCUUCUGUGCCGCAGUCAACACAAUAAGCAUUCCGCCUGGGGAGUACGGCCGCAAGGUUGAAACUCAAAUGAAUUGACGGGG
rnacentral:rRNA from 1 species